GAUGAAGAACGUAGCGAAAUGCGAUACGUAAUGUGAAUUGCAAAUUCAGUGAAUCAUCGAAUCUUUGAACGCACAUUGCGCCCCUUGGUAUUCCAUGGGGCAUGCCUGUUCGAGCGUCAUUUGUACCUUCAAGCUCUGCUUGGUGUUGGGUGUUUUGUCUCGCCUCUGCGUGUAGACUCGCCUUAAAACAAUUGGCAGCCGGCGUAUUGAUUUCGGAGCGCAGUACAUCUCGCGCUUUGCACUCAUAACGGCGACGUCCAAAAGUACAUUUUUACACUCUUGACCUCGGAUCAGGUAGGGAUACCCGCUGAACUUAAGCAUAUCAAUAAGCGGAGGA
rnacentral:misc_RNA from 1 species